AAAGUGGAUCGUGAGGGCAAGAUCAUCAAAGAGAAGCGCAACGAGGCAGGCAAGAAAAUCACCAAGAAAAAC
rnacentral:SRP_RNA from 1 species